GACGAACGCUGGCGGCGUGCUUCAUACAUGCAAGUCGAACGAGUGGCGAACGGGUGCGUAACACGUGAGAAACUCACCCCGCUCUGGGAUAACAGAUGGAAACAACUGCUAAUACCGGAUAGGAGAGUCUCGCGGCCUAUCAGCUAGUUGGUGAGGUAAAGGCUUACCAAGGCAUCGACGGGUAGCUGGUCUGAGAGGAUGAUCAGCCACACUGGGACUGAGACACGGCCCAGACUCCUACGGGAGGCAGCAGUAGGGAAUAUUGCGCAAUGGGCGAAAGCCUGACGCAGCAACGCCGCGUGCGGGAAGAAGGCCUUCGGGUUGUAAACCGCUUUCAGCAGGAAUGACGGUACCUGCAGAAGAAGGUGCGGCCAACUACGUGCCAGCAGCCGCGGUGACACGUAGGCGCCAAGCGUUGUCCGGAUUUAUUGGGCGUAAAGAGCUCGUAGGCGGUUCAGUAAGUCGGGUGUGAAACCUUUCGGCUCAACCGAAAGCCUGCAUCCGAUACUGCGUGACUUGAGUUCGGUAGGGGAGUGGGGAAUUCCUAGUGUAGCGGUGUAAUGCGCAGAUAUUAGGAGGAACACCGGUGGCGAAGGCGCCACUCUGGGCCGAAACUGACGCUGAGGAGCGAAAGCGUGGGUAGCAAACAGGAUUAGAUACCCUGGUAGUCCACGCCGUAAACGUUGGGCACUAGGUGUGGGCGCCGUCGCUAACGCAUUAAGUG
rnacentral:rRNA from 1 species